GGGAAUGUGGCUUAGUGGAAGAGUGCUUGCCUAGCAUGCAUGAAGCCCUAGGUUCGAUUCCUCAGUACCA
rnacentral:tRNA from 1 species